GACAGAGGGUGCAAACGUUGUUCGGAAUUACUGGGCGUAAAGCGUGUGUAGGCGGACCUCUAAGUACCUUGUGAAAUCCCACGGCUCACCCGUGGAACCGCUGGGUAUACUGGGGGUCUUGGGCCACUCAGGGGCGACUGGAACAAGCGGUGGAGCGGUGAAAUGCGUAGAUAUCGCUUGGAACGCCAACGGUGAAAACAGGUCGCUGGGAGUGCGCCGACGCUGAGACACGAAAGCCAGGGGAGCAAACGGG
rnacentral:rRNA from 1 species